UUGUACUGUAUCUAGCUUACGUGGGUGAUUAUCUGUAGACGGACCUGGGCAAUGGUGUCUCCAUACCAAACAAAAAUGGGCGUACCUGUGCAAGCACCAAGAGUCCCGGUUUGUGAAGGAGUUGUCAGUGGUCAUAUGGGGAACGUCCACGCUUUCGCGCAAGACACUUACAGGGUGUUUGGGUAACCGCGCGAAGGCUGAAGGGAAAACCGAGGUGUUUCCAGCACUCACACCCGAGAAGGUGGAAGCCGUGCGUGGAGCGUUUGCGACCUACCUUACCAAGGAGAAAAACGUUUCACGAGAGGAGCUGAAGAAGAAGUCUGCAUUGGUACGCAAGUACCUGAGCGAGAAAAGGAGUGAUCUCCGUCGGCCCUGUAAGCAAACUUCAAAUAAACAGCAACUUGUAACAACUGGAAAUAAAGGUAACUUCAGGCGUCUACCAACGUCUUCAGAUGACUCCAGUUGUCUUCAGUGACUUCAAGAGACUUGAGACGUCUUCAUGUGGCUACAUGUGACUACAGACGUCUUCAGGUGACU